rnacentral:rRNA from 1 species
AGCGAACGCUGGCGGCAGGCCUAACACAUGCAAGUCGAACGGACCCUUCGGGGUUAGUGGCGGACGGGGGAGUAACACGUGGGAACGUGCCCUUUGGUUCGGAACAACUCAGGGAAACUUGAGCUAAUACCGAAUGUGCCCUUUGGGGGAAAGAUUUAUCGCCAUUGGAGCGGCCCGCGUCUGAUUAGCUAGUUGGUGGGGUAAUGGCCUACCAAGGCUACGAUCAGUAGCUGGUCUGAGAGGAUGAUCAGCCACAUUGGGACUGAGACACGGCCCAAACUCCUACGGGAGGCAGCAGUGGGGAAUCUUGCGCAAUGGGCGAAAGCCUGACGCAGCCAUGCCGCGUGAAUGAUGAAGGUCUUAGGAUUGUAAAAUUCUUUCACCGGGGACGAUAAUGAUGGUACCUGGAGAAGAAGCCCCGGCUAACUUCGUGCCAGCCGCCGCAGUAAAAC